AUGGAGCCGACCUUGAAAUACCACCCUUUAAUGUUUGAUGUUCUAACGUUGACCCGUAAUCCGGGUUGCGGACAGUGUCUGGUGGGUAGUUUGACUGGGGCGGUCUCCUCCUAAAGAGUAACGGAGGAGCACGAAGGUUGGCUAAUCCUGGUCGGACAUCAGGAGGUUAGUGCAAUGGCAUAAGCCAGCUUGACUGCGAGCGUGACGGCGCGAGCAGGUGCGAAAGCAGGUCAUAGUGAUCCGGUGGUUCUGAAUGGAAGGGCCAUCGCUCAACGGAUAAAAGGUACUCCGGGGAUAACAGGCUGAUACCGCCCAAGAGUUCAUAUCGACGGCGGUGUUUGGCACCUCGAUGUCGGCUCAUCACAUCCUGGGGCUGAAGUAGGUCCCAAGGGUAUGGCUGUUCGCCAUUUAAAGUGGUACGCGAGCUGGGUUUAGAACGUCGUGAGACAGUUCGGUCCC
rnacentral:rRNA from 1 species